ACGAUUUUACCCUUUCUGCGCGCCUAAUCGCAUGGGCUAUGCGCCUCGUGUUUUUUCGAACUGCCCAAUCCUUUCGUAUGUAAAUUAACAACCCCCCGAUAGAACUCUUGACCGCUAAAGCUAAUCAGCCUUACAUGAGUUAACUGUAAACAACAAACAAGGCUGCGGCAGGCAUUUAUUUCUUGCGACGCCAGCACUGGCAGCAUGCGGACGUCACUUGCGGAUCUCGCGUGUUGUCUCUCCGUGGAAAUCGACGUCGUUCCGGCGGCGUAAAACUACGCGGUAAAGUUCGCCAAAGUUCGCGAAAGCGGUUAGCCUUGGCCGCUGCGACAUAACCGCACGUACGGACAAACAGUCGCCGCACGGUUGUCUUCGCAGGCCGCCGCGUUUUCACAUUUGCCUUCGUUUGGGGGAUCAUCCGAGAGUCGCGUGUUUUGGCAGCCGCUGCGCUACGGUAGACGAACAACGAGGCCAUGGUGGUAAAUGUAAUCACAGGCAUCGGCAUUGGUGUCGGGAUAGUGAUCGCGGUAGUGCUGCUUGGAAUCAUCUGCCGCUUCUGCCGCUCAUCAGACAAGCACAUGAUUCCCGUGAAGUACAAAAAGCAUAAAAAGAACAAACGUGGUAGUGUUGGGUCCGGCUCGUACUACCCUCCUGGUGGUUGGUCUUCUGACAUUGGCCACUCCAGCAGUGACGAAGAAGCCCGCCGUGGUGCCGACAGUGGCCACGAGAGUAUUGGCCAUGAUAGUGGAGAGCGUGACAGCGGAGGCCACAACAGUGGUGGCCACGACAGUAACUGUCAUUACAGCGGUGAAGGUGGCUGCAGCAGUGGCGGAGGUGGCGAUAGUGGGGGGGCAGGUUGUGACAGUGGCGGGGGAGGUUGUGACAGCGGCGGUGGCGCUGACUGACUGACGAAGCGUGUGAAACGUUUGUUGAUUGGUCUUCCUCCUUUGCUGCUCGUCGAAUCAUCUCAGUGAAGUGAAGGAAAAAAAGUGACUCUCGGCAUAUUUCAAAUGUAAUAGUGAGCAACUUGACUGUUGCGUCACAAUAUGUACGAAUCUCAUUGUGUUUCUUAACAGCACUAAUUCUGUAAGUAAUAGUGCAUUGGCUUUGUAAGUUUGGUGUGUGCAUUUGUGCAGCUGCUCAGUGUUA